rnacentral:tRNA from 1 species
GAGGUUAUAGCUCAGUGGUAGAGUGCAUGCUUAGCAUGCAUGAGGUCCUGCAUAAUGAUCUCC